UACAAGGUUAGGUGUCUGAUUAUUUCCUUAAUAUUUUCUUUUUUAAUAGAUUUCCAUAUUUACAACUUGUAUAAGUAAGAUUACCUCUUCUUUAGAAUUAACACAUCCUUGAUCUUUGGCUAUUUUAUGGCCUAUGGGCCUUUCACUGGAGAAAGAAUAGGCAAAAGAGAACAUUGGUUCAUUAUUUUUCAGUCUGUUUCAUCAACCUCAAUGGACAAUAUGGCUUUUUAAUAGUAGAGAAAGCCCAGUAACUAUUUUUCACACAUGAACCCUUGUAAUGAUGGUGGCUAUAGGUC
rnacentral:lncRNA from 1 species